GUGCUCCAGCCUUUUCGUAUAGUUUAAUGGUUUUCUAGUCGUCCGUCCUCCUCGGUUCUGGCUGCCAACCCCAAGAACUGCCUUGCCUAGUGCCUACUGCCUAGGGAAGGACCGAAGGAGAGGUGCGCGGCUGGUGGCGUGCGAGUGGCAGCGGCGCCGCGGGACUCUUCUCCUCGCCGCUCGCCUGCUGGGUGCGCCAUCCCUCGACGCCUUGCAGGCGUAUUUGGAAGAUCUGGGCGCCGUUGGAGACUUGGAGUGCAAGUUCUUUCUCUGGAUGGCGGCACACGAGCGGUGCUGGACGUCAGGCCGCGUGGCUCACCAUGGACUGCCUGUCUGCCCCCACCCUCCACGCUGCCCUUUAUGUGACCAGGAGACGGGCGGGCCCCAUUCAAUUCAAGGGUGACACCGUGAUAUUGCUGUGAAGUUUUGUGGCACUUCCUGCAUCCCUUAUAUGGUAUUAACAAAAAUUUUAAUUGUCUGGGUGAUCCAUUUGAGCAAAUGGAAGGCAACGAUGUACCCCUUGGAAACAUGUUGCAAGGGGUUCCCUAUGAAAGUUUAGACUUACGUGGCAGCUCUAUGCAAAAUUAUGCUCCAAACUCAGGAAAACAUAUCUUCAGCAGCUCCCAGAUGCCAGGUACUUUCACAAUGUCUAUGACCAGGGCUACAGAGCCUGAUGACUUUCCUGGGUUUCAGUUCAAAGAACAGGGAAAGAGUGAUGACCACCACCACCAACACCAUAGUCAUCACUCAAAGAACUGCAAGAGUGAUGGUGAGGAACAUGUUGUGGCUGAAGAUGCUACUGAUACCCCAAGUGGCAAAGGCAAGAAGGGCUCUGCAUGGCAUCGGAUGAAGUGGACAGAUUCAAUGGUAAAACUUUUGAUAACAGCAGUGUCUUACACUGGAGAUGAUCAUGGUGCUGAUUCCGGCGGUGGCAGGAGGAACUUCACAAUAAUGCAGAAGAAGGGCAAAUGGAAGGCGAUAUCGAAAGUUAUGGGAGAGAGAGGCUGCCAUGUGUCACCGCAACAGUGCGAGGACAAGUUCAAUGACCUUAACAAGAGAUACAAAAGGCUGACAGACAUCCUUGGUAGGGGCACUGCAUGCAAUGUUGUGGCUAAUCCAGCACUUCUUGAUAGCAUGACUCAUCUUUCAGAUAAGAUGAAAGACGAUGCAAAAAAGAUACUUAGCUCAAAGCACCUAUUUUAUGAGGAGAUGUGUUCCUACCACAACAACAACCGUGUAAAUUUGCCUGAAGAUCAUGCACUUCAGCAUUCACUACUGCUUGCCCUUAGAUGUAAAGAGGAGCAUGAUCCUCAGAGGGAUCCAAGUGGAGAUGCUGAUGAAUACGAUCAAAGUGCUGAUUCUGAUUAUGAGGAGAAUGACGACGAUCAACAUCCUGUGCAUAUAAACAUGAGGGAGCCCUCAAUGCACAAAAGGAAGCGCCACAGUGAUGUGGCUUUGGUCACAUCAAGUUCUCAUGAAGGCAGUGAGAGGUCUGAUCCCCAUGCUGUCACAGUGGACAUCAACAAGGCUUUCACAGAUGCAACCAACAUGGUUUUGUUGCAACAAGACUUGGCUUCACAAGCCAUAGAGAUUCAGAAACGUCGCUUGCAGAUUGAAGCAAAGGAACUGGAACUCACAAAGCAACGUCUUAAGUGGGAGCGGUUCAGGAAGAAGAAGGACAGAGAGAUAGAAAGGAUUGCAUUGGAGAAUGAACAUAUGAUGAUUGAGAACAAACGCUUGGAGCUUGAGCUGAGACAUAAGGAGUUAGAGCUAGAGCUGAAGCUGAAAGACAAGGGGAACCAUCCGUAACUUUUGCUUGACCAACACUACAGUAUGUAAGAUGGUAAACAAGUUGCGGUUGAGCUUCUGGAAGAGAGCUGGUAGAUUAGAGUAGACUCUGACAACCAUUCCUCAUGUAUGUCAUGGUGAUGUGGCUAUGGCCAACUCUGAAGCUCUCAUGGAGGUAGUGAGAAGUCUGCUGAUCCACGUAGCAUCGCAGUGGACAUCAACAAUGCUCUCCCGGAUGGAACCAACUUGGCUUUAUUUUUUAUUUUUUUUGCAACAGGAUUUGGUUUCACAAGCACUAGAGAUUCAGGAACCUUAACAUGCAGUGAAGCGACCUAACUGGAACUCCGGAAAGCGACGUCUCAAGUGGAAGCCAGAAUGGACAUAUCAAUAUUUAUUGAGUGAGGAAUGAGAACAAACGAUUUGACUUGAGCUGAGAGCCUGAGACGUGCAAGCAGCUAGAGUGGCAAAAAGGCCAAGCGAACCACUGCAUAAGGGUAGGUAUGGUAAUGGAUUACAAUUCAAAUGUUUCUUCAUAACUAAUUAGGAGUCUUCAAUAAUUUUAGUUUAAAAAUAAAUAGAAAUAGAGCUAUAUUCGAUUCUUAAAAUUUAUAGUAUAUUACCAUCCCUAUCCGAGGUUGAUCAACCCUUCCAUUUGUAAGGCAAUCUAUAGCAGACUUUUUUUUUUAUCAUACCUCCUAUCCUACUUUCUAUUUUAAAUUUCAUUAUAUAAAUAGCAUAAACAGUGUUUUGCAUAAUUAUAUGUACGAUCUGUUGACCAGAGCCUAAAGGUGUUAAAUUAGUUAGUGAUGCGCAAGCUAAACCUGAGAAAAGUUCAUGUUGAGUGGUAGACAUUGCAUAACCUCUCAUGCCCCCAUACGUGUUGGCUGCUGACCAUGACAGUGCACGAUUUCUGUAUUUGACUAACAGACUAAAGUAUAACUAGGAGUGGAGAUUCAGUUUGUUA